CUUUUGUUCUUUUUUUCAUUAAAGUGACAUAACUUUCAUAUUUGAAGUAUCUUCCCAGUGAAUUAUUGAUCCAUAAACGAUGAUCUACAAGGAUGACACCCACUAACAAUCUAAGCAAUAGUGGAGAGGCUACCUUAAAUGCCCUCCCCUAAUAAUGAGAUUGAUGACUACCUUAUAUGACAUCCUAGAGACUUCAUACAGCAGCUGAUGGAAGCACAAGCAGACACUCACAGCUAAACACUGAACUGGAAUCCAGUUGCAGAGAGGAAGGAAUGAUGAGCAAAGUGGUAAAGACAAGGCUGGUGAAACCCACAGAAACAGCUGACUUGAACAAGAGGGACCUCAUGGACCCCAGACUGACAGCUGGGAAACCAGCAUGGGACUGAUCCAGACCCCCAGAACUUUUGUGUCAGUGAGGAGGCCUCAGAAAUCUACGGGGCCUCUGGUAGUGUCAGUAUUUAUCCCUAGCAUAGGAAUGGACUUUGGGAGCACAUUUUACAGAGAGGGAUACUCUCUCAGCCUAGACACUCCGGGGAGAGCCUAGGCCCUUCUCUAAAGGAUAUGACAGACUCUGAAGGUGCCCCAAGAAAGGCCUCACCCUCCCUGUGGAGUAGAAAGAGUAUGGAAUAGUGAGUUAGGGGCAGGGGAGGAGUGGAGAGAGAGAGGGAUUCGAAUGUAAAACAAUUUUGUUUCUAAUUUAAAUAAAAAUGAAAAAAACAAAUUCUAAAUAAAUAUUGGCAAAUUAAUGUUAGAUGGGUUUGUUUUAAAUAAGCAAUGUUUCUAGGCUUUGGAAACCUGAUAAUAUAAUUGAAUAUUUUGUAAUUAAAGAAGAAAAACUUCAAAUCACUAUUUUUUUUUGAGACAGGGUUUCUCUGUGGCUUUUGAAGCUGUCCUUGAACUUGCUCUGUAGACCAGACUGGCCUCGAACUCACAGAGAUUCGCCUGCCUCUGCCUCCCAAGUGCUGGGGUUAAAGACGUGCGCCACCAACACUCCGCUCAAAUCACCAUUUCAUAAUAGACACAGAAAAGUAUUUUACAUAAUCCACAGUCACUUAUAAUUAAAAAUAAAACAGGCAGGAUAAAAGGCCCUGUUAUCCUGAUAAUCAUCUCUAUAAAAUCCUAAGAACAAACAUCUAAAUGAAUAAUCAGAAAGUACAGACAUCACAUUCUAUGUUAUAAUAGGAGCUCAUUUGCUACCCCUGUUUUUGUUAAUAGCUGAAUUUGAUAUUCUAUCUGUAGACCCUAGGUAAUGAAAACAAAUGAUAUAU
rnacentral:lncRNA from 1 species